UUCGCGGUUGUUGUGUGCGCAAGUUUCACGUGUGGUUUUAUCUUCUAUUUUGUGCUGAUACGUGAAUAUUCAAGUGAUUUCGUGAGUGUUUUUGACGGAGAAUAAAGUUCCAGCAAAUAUCGCCAACUUUGGCUUUGUCGUUUUGGGAAUCAACAUGGUGGGACUUGUUUGACAAGAGAAGCAGACAGUGAGUUUGUGUACAUCGGCAACCGAGGAAGUCCAGCAAAAUGUUCCAGAAACCAGCGUUUGGUAGCACCAACACGUCGACGUUCGGCUCGUUCAACGCCGGAACGAGCACGGCGUCGCCGUUCAGCGGGUUUAAACCGGCGACCGGCGGGAGCGCGU